GAGAGAUUAACUCAGUUGGCUUAGAGCAUGGUGCUAAUAGCACCAAGCUUAUGGGUUCAAUCCCCGUACAGGCCG